rnacentral:rRNA from 1 species
GAUGAACGCUAGCGGCAGGCUUAACACAUGCAAGUCGAGGGGCAGCGCGGGAUAGCAAUAUCCUGGCGGCGACCGGCGGAAGGGUGCGUAACGCGUGAGCGACAUGCCCGUUGCCCGGGGACAACCGGUGGAAACGCCGACUAAUCCCCGAUGGGAUACGAUGCUUCAUGGCAUUGUAUUGAAAGUUACGGCGGCGACGGAUUGGCUCGCGUCCGAUUAGCUGGUUGGCGGGGUAACGGCCCACCAAGGCUGCGAUCGGUAGGGGUUCUGAGAGGAAGGCCCCCCACAAUGGGACUGAGACACGGCCCAUACUCCUACGGGAGGCAGCAGUGAGGAAGAUUGGUCAAUGGGCGGAAGCCUGAACCAGCCAUGCCGCGUGCGGGAAGGAGGCCCUAUGGGCUGUGAACCGCUUUUGCCUGGGGGCAAUAAGGGCGUCGCGCACGUCCGAUGAGAGUACCAGGCGAAUAAGCAUCGGCUAACUCCGUG